UGUGACUCCAGGCUUGUCUCCUAAACUGGCUCUCUUUCUCGAUUUUUUUUUUUUUCACUGGAGUGAUGGAAAAUUUGAAUUCUCAUUCGUCUCGAUAGGAGUUUCUGUUUUCAUGUUUUGAUUUUAAUUUUUGACUUGGGAUGUAGGAAAUUCCUAGUGUCUGUAGCUUUGUAAUUGAUCAGUAUGCUUCAGAAAAUUUUCCAAUUACCAUUUCAAGGAAAGUUGGUGCUGGAAGUAUCCUUUCCAUUAUAGGGGAAGCUUGAUGGAAGGAUGUUAAAAUUCUUUAUCCAAUGACAAAAGCAAUAAAAGAAAUGCAAAUAAUGACAUAACCAUUAGCAUACUAUAUAAUAACUUAAAAGGGUUUGAGAGAUAAUUAACUAAGCGUUGUUAUAUUAAUCUUCAGUACCAGCUACCACCUUUCCAGUUUUAUUUUCUGCAAUCACACAGUACGCUGAACAUUAAUACUGAUUUAUCAAUAAUAUUUCUUUGGUUUACGUUGCUUUGUGAAUGCAUAUAUCUCCCCGAAGGUCCCGACGAGCUUCAUUGAGUGAUUAAUUUUUCAGACAACUAUACCCUGCACAAUGGUGACACCAACCUUAGCAUGAAUAGUAUUUAUGCAUAUGUGACACCAACCUUAGCAUGAAUAGUAUUUAUGCAUAUGCAUUUGACAAGGUUAGCAAUAAAUGAAAGUUAGAAGCUACAAUUAGCGACUCAUUGUGCAUUUUUUUCAGUGUUAGGCUUGUUCUCCACCACCA
rnacentral:lncRNA from 1 species